UGUUCCGGAGGUAUGAAUGCGACAUAUCUGGAAGUAAAAUUCAACCAAAAGAAAUGGCAGCCAUAAACAUCUAUUUUUAAAAAUUCAAGACCGUUUUGCCGUCAAUGCCACCGCCCCAAUUCUACGUUUGUAGCAAACUCGACGUUUCUAGCGCAUUAAAUGGGUGUCGACAGUUUCGGAACAGCCGCACGUGACCCACGCGCCGGGCCCUGACCAAUGGCAACGAAGGUCCGGUGGCGCCAAAGUUUCCGCGACCCAGCCAAUCAGAUUGCGCUGCUGAGUGACAUCAUGCAUAUAUUACUAGGCCGCGAGGAGCGCGAUCAUCUUCUGUCAUAAUUUCAUCAACAGCAACAGUUUCGACUUCUCUCACACGCUCUACUCGAUUUUUCUUCUCCAUCUAGAUGCCAAAGAAGAAAGCCAUGCCGGCGCCCGCGUCCAGGACCCCGACUGCACAAGAAACCGCCCUGGAGACGCAGGCGAUCCUCCAGCUUCGCAGUAUCGGGAACGGCUUGGGCUAUCAGCGGCUCAGCGCCAGGGUCGUGACGGCGUUCAGACAAUACCGCUACGUAGUCACAAACAUGCAGAGGCGCAACCGGGUGUACCGUGCCCUCAGUGGCCU